ensembl:snoRNA
UAGUUGUUACCAGGCUUUUAGAAUGCAAUUUCUCAUUUGCUGUGGGCAUAAUCUAAGAAAACCCCCUAGGGUUUUCCAUAGACUACGUUGUUAGUAGACAACCUGUCAAGAACAUUU